UGAUUAGAUUCACAGUUGAAUUUGUGUUUAGGAAUUGGUUUAGAAUUCCACAAAACUUUACAGAAAAUGGUAGCUUAAUAAAGCUUAAACUAUUAUGUGAGAGUCCCCAUGGUGUACACUUUUGCGAAUAGUUUGCAUAUAUGCCGUAAUUGAAAUAUAUGGGCUACUAAAAUGCACCAAAGGCCCAUCUUCAAUUUGAUGAUACAAUUUCAAUCCUGUAUUUUCACAAUAUCCUGACAAAGGUAUGCAAACGAUGUCAUUCUGUACUCAGGAAAUACAGCUAAGCAUAAUUUAG